rnacentral:rRNA from 1 species
UACAGAGGGUGCAAGCGUUGUUCGGAAUUAUUGGGCGUAAAGCGCGUGUAGGCGGCUUUGCAAGUCGGGUGUGAAAGCCCUCAGCUCAACUGAGGAAGUGCGCCCGAAACUGCAGAGCUUGAGUGCUGGAGAGGGUGGCGGAAUUCCCCAAGUAGAGGUGAAAUUCGUAGAUAUGGGGAGGAACACCGGUGGCGAAGGCGGCAUCCUGGACCAUGACUGACGCUGAGGAGCGAAAGCCAGGGGAGCAAACGGG